ensembl:snRNA U6 U6 spliceosomal RNA
GUGCUUGCUUCAGCAGCACAUAUUCUAAGAUUGGAACAAUGCAGAGAACAUUAGCAUGAUCUUUGUACAAGGAAAUUCAUGGCAUGUUCCAUAUUUUU